rnacentral:rRNA from 1 species
AAGCGGAGGAAAAGAAACCAACAGGGAUUGCCCUAGUAACGGCGAGUGAAGCGGCAAGAGCUCAAAUUUGAAAUCUGGCUCCUCCGGGGUCCGAGUUGUAAUUUGCAGAGGAUGCUUCGGGUGCGGUCCCCGUCUAAGUACCCUGGAAUGGGUCGUCAUAGAGGGUGAGAAUCCCGUCUGGGACGGGUGGCCGUGUCCGUGUGAAGCUCCUUCGACGAGUCGAGUUGUUUGGGAAUGCAGCUCUAAAUGGGUGGUAAAUUUCAUCUAAAGCUAAAUAUUGGCCGGAGACCGAUAGCGCACAAGUAGAGUGAUCGAAAGAUGAAAAGCACUUUGAAAAGAGAGUUAAACAGCACGUGAAAUUGUUGAAAGGGAAGCGCUUGCGACCAGACUCGCCCGCGGGGGUUCAGCCGGUACUCGUACCGGUGUACUCCCCCGUGGGCGGGCCAGCGUCGGUUUGGGCGGCCGGUCAAAGGCCUCCGGAAUGUAUCGCCCUUCGGGGCGUCUUAUAGCCGGGGGUGCAAUGCGGCCAGCCUGGACCGAGGAACGCGCUUCGGCUCGGACGCUGGCGUAAUGGUCGUAA